rnacentral:rRNA from 1 species
UACGUAGGCAGCAAGCGUUGUUCGGAGUUACUGGGCGUAAAGAGUGUGUAGGCGGUUCUCUAAGUUCGGUGUGAAAUCUCCCGGCUCAACUGGGAGGGUGCGCCGGAAACUGGAGGGCUUGGGUAUGGGAGAGGAAAGCGGAAUUCCUGGUGUAGCGGUGAAAUGCGUAGAUAUCAGGAGGAACACCUGCGGUGUAGACAGCUUUCUGGACCAUCACUGACGCUGAGACACGAAAGCGUGGGUAGCAAACAGG